rnacentral:tRNA from 1 species
UGGCUCAGUUGGUGGAGCAUGUGACUCUUGAUUUCAGGGUUGUGGGUUCAAGUCCCAC